AUUGAACGCUGGCGGCAGGCCUAACACAUGCAAGUCGAACGAGUGGCGGACGGGUGAGUAAGGUCUGGGAAACUGCCCGAGGGAGGGGGAGAAAUACUGGAAGCGGUAGCUAAUACCGCAUACCAUUGGAGGUGCCCAGAUGGGAUUAGCUGGUAGGUGAGGUAAAGGCUCACCUAGGCGACGAUCCCUAGCUGGUCUGAGAGGAUGACCGGCCACACGGGAACUGAGAACCGGUCCAGACUCCUACGGGAGGCAGCAGUGGGGAAUAUUGCACAAUGGGCGCAAGCCUGAUGCAGCCAUGCCGCGUGUAUGAAGAAGGCCUGCGGGUUGUAAAGUACUUUCAGCGGGGAGGCGUUACCCGCAGAAGAAGCACCGGCUAACUCCGUGCCAGCAGCCGCGGUAAUAC
rnacentral:rRNA from 1 species